AUUGAACGCUGGCGGCAGGCCUAACACAUGCAAGUCGAGCGGGGUUUUCGGACCUAGCGGCGGACGGGUGAGUAAUGCGUAGGAAGCUACCCGAUAGAGGGGGAUACCAGUUGGAAACGACUGUUAAUACCGCAUAAUGUCUACGGACCAAAGUGUGGGACAUUCGGGCCACAUGCUAUCGGAUGCGCCUACGUGGGAUUAGCUAGUUGGUGGGGUAAUGGCUCACCAAGGCGUCUAUCCUUAGCCUGUUUUGUGUUUUGAUCAGCCACACUGGAACUGAGACACGGUCCAGACUCCUACGGGAGGCAGCAGUGGGGAAUAUUGGACAAUGGGCGCAAGCCUGAUCUAGCCAUGCCGCGUGUGUGAAGAAGGCCUUCGGGUUGUAAAGCACUUUCAGUAGGGAGGAAGAGUUGAGUGUUAAUAGUACUCAGCUUUGACGUUACCUACAGAAGAAGCACCGGCUAACUCUGUGCCAGCCGCCGCAGUAAUAC
rnacentral:rRNA from 1 species